GUGACUACAUGAGUCUCUUCUACGUCAAAGUGCAAAAGUAAAAUUAGAAAAACUGUGGUUUGAAAAGUCUGACUAGUGCAAUUCUUCCUGAGCCAUUGCAUGAGCUUCCGCUGGGCGGGAAAUCCCAUGUUGUGAGUGGGGGAUUCACCCUUGUUGAGUGAACAGAGUGCUGACUCACUGAGAACCCGGGCCAGAGACCUGCAAACAAUGCUCAAUUAAUAUUUGCCCUGGCCGGUGAACCCAGCAGAGGCUGUGCACGGAAGCCCAGAGCACGAUGUCUUGUUAGAAUGCUACCUCCUGGACCCAGCUGCCAGGCUCUGAGAAGCUCAAGUCACAUGGGGAGGCCACGUGUAGGUGACCUGGUCAACAGUCUCAGCCAAAGCCAACUCUCAAGUAGUCCCCUGUGGGUGCCAGACAUGUAGAUCAAGAAGCUUCUGGUUGAUUUCAACUGCCAGCUGCUUGCAUCACCCCCAGCUGAGGUCCCAGAUGUGGUGAAAAAGCAGCCACCCUCCCUGUGCUGGUUGGAAUUCCCUACUCAGAGAAUUCAUGUGCCUAAUAAAAUGGUUUUUGUUUAAGGCCACCAC
rnacentral:lncRNA from 10 species